GGUGCCAGCAGCCGCGGUAAUUCCAGCUCCAAUAGCGUAUAUUAAAGUUGUUGCAGUUAAAAAGCUCGUAGUUGGAUUUCUGUUAAUACCUUAUAUAUAAUAUUUUUUUUUAAAUAUUAUUAUGUAAGAUUAACAUAAUUCAUAUUUUUUAAGACUGAAUUUUUAGUUUUGAUAAUAUGAAAUUUUACUUUGAGAAAAUUAGAGUGCUUAAAGCAGGCUUUUGCCUUGAAUACUCCAGCAUGGAAUAAUAAUAAAAGAUUUUUAUCUUUUUUUUAUUGGUUCUAAGAUAAAAAUAAUGAUUAAUAGGGACAGUUGGGGGCAUUUGUAUUUAACAGUCAGAGGUGAUAUUCUUAGAUUUGUUAAAGACAAACUAAUGCGAAAGCAUUUGCCAAGGAUGUUUUCAUUAAUCAAGAACGAAAGUUAGGGGAUCGAAGACGAUCAGAUACCGUCGUAGUCUUAACCAUAAACUAUGCCAACUAGAGAUUGGAGGUUGUUCCUUACUCCUUC
rnacentral:rRNA from 1 species